rfam:Salmo salar isolate Sally breed double haploid chromosome ssa06, whole genome shotgun sequence.
UGCAUUAACUACUGUAAGUUGCUCUGGAUAAGAGCGUCUGCUAAAUGACAAAAA